AACAAACGCUGGCGGCGUGCCUAGCACAUGCAAGUCGUACGAGAAAGGGUCCUUCGGGGCCUGAGUAAAGUGGCGCACGGGUGAGUAACGCGUGGAUAAUCUGCCCUUCAGUUGGGAAUAACUCAUCGAAAGGUGGGCUAAUACCGAAUAAUGCUGUGAGACCUCGGUUGAUCAGCCAAGGAGAGCCUCUGCUUGCAAGCCCUCGCUGAAGGAUGAGUCCGCGUACCAUUAGCUAGUUGGUAGGGUAAUGGCCACCAAGGCGACGAUGGUUAGCUGGUCUGAGAGGAUGAUCAGCCACACUGGAACUGAGACACGGUCCAGACUCCUACGGGAGGCAGCAGUGAGGAAUCUUGCGCAAUGGGGGCAACCCUGACGCAGCAACGCCGCGUGAGUGAGGUAGGUCUUCGGAUCGUAAAGCUCUGUCGGAUGGAAAGAACCGCAUAGGGGUAGACAGCCCCUGUGUCUGACGGUACCAUCAAAGGAAGCACCGGCUAACUCCGUGCCAGCCGCCGCAGUAACAC
rnacentral:rRNA from 1 species